rnacentral:rRNA from 1 species
UACGUAGGCAGCAAGCGUUGUUCGGAAUUACUGGGCGUAAAGGGCUCGUAGGCGGCCAAUUAAGUCGGACGUGAAAUCCCUCAGCUUAACUGGGGAACUGCGUCCGAUACUGGAUGGCUUGGAUUUGGGAGAGGGAUGCGGAAUUCCAGGUGUAGCGGUGAAAUGCGUAGAUAUCUGGAGGAACACCGGUGGCGAAGGCGGCAUCCUGGACCAAUAUUGACGCUGAGGAGCGAAAGCUAGGGGAGCAAACGGG